rnacentral:rRNA from 1 species
GAAUUCACUAGUGAUUCAGGCCUAACACAUGCAAGUCGAGAGGAUGAAGUAGCUUGCUACUGAUUCAGCGAAGGACGGGUGAGUAAUGCCUAGGAAUCUGCCUGGUAGUGGGGGACAACGUUUGGAAAGGAACGCCAAUACCGCAUACGCCCUACGGGGGCAAGGGGGGGAUCUUCGGACCUCUCGCUAUCAGAUGAGCCCAUGUCGGAUCCGCUUGUUGGUGAGGUAAAGGCUCACCAAGGCGACGAUCCGUAACUGGUCUGAGAGGAUAAACAGUCACACUGGUUUUGAGGGAAGGUCCAGACUCCUACGGGAGGCAGCAGUGGGGAAUAUUGGACAAUGGGCGCAAGCCUGAUC